rnacentral:rRNA from 1 species
UUACAAUGGGUGGAUACAGAGGGCCGGCCGCUGGCAACAUCGGUCCAAUCCUUAAAGUCAUCCUCAGUUCGGACUGGGGUCUGCAACCCGACCCCACGAAGCUGGAUCCGCUAGUAAUCGCGCAUCAGCCAUGGCGCGGUGAAUACGUUCCCGGGCCUUGUACACACCGCCCGUCAAGCCAUGAAAGCCGGGGGGCGCCUGAAGUCCGUGACCGCGAGGGUCGGCCUAGGGUGAAACCGGUGAUUGGGGCUAAGUCGUAACAAGGUACC